ensembl:lncRNA
GCUCUGUACAAAGAUUUUAAAGCCACUGUAAAUUUUCCUGAAUGCGUUGUAACAAUAACAUUUUUGUUAAUUCACAGAAAAUGACGGGGUUUUUUUUCACAUUUCUUUAUACUGUUACUUUUUUGUUUUGCUGAGGUUAAAACGAUGCCACCUUAAAUGAAACUGAAAAAUAAUAUUGUUGAGUCUGUGUUUCCACAGGCCCCGCUAGUUUAGAGACUUAUUCCUCAUGAAGAACAAAACCAAGAAAGAACAUCUUCAACCAGUCUUUUACUUGCUAACGAGGGAGAGCUUGGUCAUACGUGUGUGUGUGUGUGUGUGUGUGUGUGUGUGUGUGUGUGUGUGUGUGUGUGUGUGUGUGUGUUGUAUCCUGUAUUGGUUCAGCAUACACAACACAGGUGAAGCCAUAACAGGGCAGGAAGCUUAUCAAACAACAAACAAACCUUCACAAGGGAUGUGCUUGUGUCACCAUCGACAUGCUGGGGAGGGGGACAAAGGAAUGCCUUUGACCACAGUGUUUGAAACAAUGUAGAGAUGGUAAGCAUAAAAAUGACAACUUUUAACAAUUCACUUUAACAAAUAUGUCACGUGAUGCCAGGGCAAGCCGUGUGAAUUACUAAAGGACCCAAAAUGCAGGUGGCUUCUGAGGUGAGCGAGAUUUAUUGUGACAGUGAUGUACAACACAAAAGAAAGGGUGGCGAGAAACAGAACUGAAAACACUCUAAACUGGGAAAACUAAAACAACAAAACCUGAACAUGAAUGAGGGAGAACAACGUGGGGAGAAGAUGGAGGAAAAUACACAGAAUGACGGAGGGGAAUAACACAGAUGAACCAGCAACAAGGACGAGGGAACACACACUAUAAAUACACACACCAGUAUUCAGGGGAUGGGAAACAGGAGGGAAACACACCAGGGAGACAUAACAGCUGACGAGGCAGGGAAAAAUAAACAGAACACACUGACAUCAGACAGAGACCUUCAAAGUAAAACAGGAAACACACCGACUGAACACAACACACACCAACUAAACACAGACUGGGGGACACAGACAUAGGAACAAGAAACGUGAAACAGGAGAGUACAAAAACCCAAGAUAACCAAAACCACAGAAUAAUAAUAAACUUAACAUAAACACGGAGUCACAGACUCCGGACCAUGACAAAAUAUUGUAAUUGAAAUGUAUUGAACAUUUGUCUUGAUGUUAAAAAAAAAGAUUAAUUGAAACUGUAAAUAUUGACAUUAAAACAAAAAAACUCAUAACUAAGUUUUCACAAUUACAUCUUUUUUUUCGCUUACAGAUUUGUUUUUUCAGUUUCCAUUUGCUGGCAUUCUCACAGACUCUGUAAACAGUGAGUUUUCAAGCUUUUCUAAUGCUGUGUGUGAGCAGCAGGAAAAUACAGUCAGAGCACAAACAUACAUACAUGGUCAAACAUACAAAACAAGUAGCUACACUUUUUAAACACAACUCAGACGAAGAAAUAACUGAUCACUGAUGUGAAGUCAGGGAGUAUCGAGGUAAACUUUUCUUAUCUUUGAGAACUACUGAAACAACUACCAAUGACAUUAAAUUGUACUGCUGAGUGACAAAUGUACAUGUAGUAAAUACAUUACAGGGUUACCCAAGCGACCAGGAAUGCCUAUAACCAUCUGUCAGCAGCAAAGUGAUGCAUGAAGGAUGGAAUCAGUUUAUACUUGGAUGUAAUUUUAUUGAAACAGCUGAUUGAGGAUUAGUGUUGUUGAAGUUUUGUGGUCCAAAGCUCACACUCACAUAAUGAGGUCAUAUUUGAUCUUAUAAACAAAAACACUGAUCCCAGGUCUGUGACACUGUUCAUGGAUACUGAGGGUAAACAAACCACACAGCUCACAAAGAUAAAGAGAAACUGAAAUCAGAUCUUGAUUGAAACAUUCAGGUGUGAAAAUAUUUCAUGUUCAAGUGUUGCCUUCAUUUGUUUGAAGAUGUAAAAGUUCUUUUUGCUGACAGCAGUUGUAGAGAGCUGUCUCUGACUGCAGUUUCAGGUUUAGUUGAGCCAGCUAACACAAAGACAGUCUGACUGUGUUGAAGCUGAUUUGUAGUCACAGCCCUCUGGAUGUUCCAGUGAACUACAGAGCGGAAAUGUAAAGACUGUUUUUAAAGAUGAAACUCUUCCACUGAGAUGAGCUGUCAGCAAAAACAGAAGCAGCCGUUAAAGAUAAAAAUGAAAUAAACCUACAGUACUGUGGGCCUGCUGUCUGUGCUCAGUUCAUCUGUUUCUGCAGAUUUUAAACACUGACAACACCCAGAACUGUGAACAGCAGCAGCAGAAUCAACGCUGGAAAAACCUCUGAGAGAUUUAAACCUGCUGCACUUCAACAGGAGGCUGAUUUGUUUCUACACUCUGUUGUUGUUUACGUUUGUAGAUCAAAAAACCAACAACAGCAACAACAACAAGAAGCACAGCAGAAACUGACAGACCAACUUUCAGUCCAGUCAAACUGCUGUCAGACAUUAUCUACUGCACUCUGAUCACAUCACUCAGACCAGCUGCUUUCUACAAAGUCUCAUCAACAACAUCUUUAGAAACAAACAUCAACAACCAGGAAGCAGCUUCACCUCUGAUCACACACACACUCAACUCUACUCACACACCUGGAGGAACAACAUGAAGGUGGAUGAUGCUGACACCCAGAUUAGCUCCCUUCCUGCGGUUUGUUCCUGUUGUGAUUACACGACACUCGUAUGUUCCAGCAUCAUUAAUCGUCACAUUCUUCAGAAUCAGAGACACGUCUCCAUCCUUCAUCUGUCUGUCCUGCAGAUCCACCCGGUUCUUAAAAGAUGGAUGCUGGUCGUCUGGAUCAAAACGAUCAUUGUGGUACAAAAGCACAUUUUCAUCUCCCAGGUCAGCUCUGCUCCACUCUAAAACUGUGAUGUUGUUGUUUGGACCUCGACAUGUCAGAGUGACGUCCUGUCCAGACUCAGCUGUGAUGGUUUUCUGC